rnacentral:rRNA from 1 species
CACUCCUGCGGGAGGCAGCAGUGGGGAAUUUUGGACAAUGGGCGAAAGCCUGAUCCAGCAAUGCCGCGUGAGUGAAGAAGGCCUUCGGGUUGUAAAGCUCUUUGGUCAGGGAAGAAACGGUGAAAGCUAAUAUCUUUUGCUAAUGACGGUACCUGAAGAAUAAGCACCGGCUAACUACGUGCCAGCAGCCGCGGUAAUACGUAGGGUGCAAGCGUUAAUCGGAAUUACUGGGCGUAAAGCGUGCGCAGGCGGUUUUGUAAGUCUGAUGUGAAAUCCCCGGGCUCAACCUGGGAAUUGCAUUGGAGACUGCAAGGCUAGAAUCUGGCAGAGGGGGGUAGAAUUCCACGUGUAGCAGUGAAAUGCGUAGAUAUGUGGAGGAACACCGAUGGCGAAGGCAGCCCCCUGGGUCAAGAUUGACGCUCAUGCACGAAAGCGUGGGGAGCAAACAGGAUUAGAAACCCCGGUAGUCCCAUGAU